rnacentral:precursor_RNA from 10 species
UAAAAUUGACAAAACAUGGCGACUGCUCUCAGGGUGGUAAUGCUGCCUACAUGGUGAGGUGACAACAUGAGACAGUGUGUCCUCCCUAAGUUUCAGAUCUAAGCCGAAUGCUGCUGAAG